rnacentral:rRNA from 1 species
UACGUAGGGUGCAAGCGUUGUCCGGAAUUAUUGGGCGUAAAGAGCUCGUAGGCGGUUUGUCGCGUCUGCUGUGAAAACUCGGGGCUUAACUCCGGGCCUGCAGUGGGUACGGGCAGACUAGAGUGCGGUAGGGGGAGACUGGAAUUCCUGGUGUAGCGGUGGAAUGCGCAGAUAUCAGGAGGAACACCGGUGGCGAAGGCGGGUCUCUGGGCAGUAACUGACGCUGAGGAGCGAAAGCGUGGGGAGCGAACAGG